rnacentral:rRNA from 1 species
AGGACGAACGCUGGCGGCGUGCUUAACACAUGCAAGUCGAGCGGAAAGGCCCUUCGGGGUACUCGAGCGGCGAACGGGUGAGUAACACGUGAGCAACCUGCCCUUAGCUCUGGGAUAGCUCCGGGAAACCGGAAUUAAUACCGGAUAUGACCUAGGCCGACAUCGGCCGUGGUGGAAAGUUUUUCGGCUAGGGAUGGACUCGCGGCCUAUCAGCUAGUUGGUGGGGUAAUGGCCUACCAAGGCGACGACGGGUAGCCGGCCUGAGAGGGCGACCGGCCACACUGGGACUGAGACACGGCCCAGACUCCUACGGGAGGCAGCAGUGGGGAAUCUUGCGCAAUGGGCGAAAGCCUGACGCAGCGACGCCGCGUGGGGGAUGAAGGCCUUCGGGUUGUAAACCCCGUUUCAGCAGGGACGAAGCGAAAGUGACGGUACCUGCAGAAGAAGCGCCGGCUACUACGCGCCAGCAGCCGC